GUCAGUAACUCAGCCCUAAAGGGACUGAGCUUGUAAGAAAUUGCAAGCUGUACUGACAGUCUAAGUCUUCACUGACUACGUUUUUUGAGUCACGACACCCUGGAAUGCGUAGCUAGUUCCCUGCUCUGUC
rnacentral:sRNA from 25 species